rnacentral:rRNA from 1 species
UACGGGGGGGGCAAGCGUUGUUCGGAAUUACUGGGCGUAAAGGGCUCGUAGGUGGCCAACUAAGUCAGACGUGAAAUCCCUCAGCUUAACUGGGGAACUGCGUCUGAUACUGGAUGGCUUGAGUUUGGGAGAGGGACGCGGAAUUCCAGGUGUAGCGGUGAAAUGCGUAGAUAUCUGGAGGAACACCGGUGGCGAAGGCGGAUCUCUGGGCUGACACUGACGCUCAUGCACGAAAGCGUGGGGAGCAAACAGG